rnacentral:rRNA from 1 species
AUAAUGUCGCAAGACCAAAGUGGGGGACCUUCGGGCCUCAUGCCAUCAGAUGUGCCCAGAUGGGAUUAGCUAGUAGGUGGGGUAACGGCUCACCUAGGCGACGAUCCCUAGCUGGUCUGAGAGGAUGACCAGCCACACUGGAACUGAGACACGGUCCAGACUCCUACGGGAGGCAGCAGUGGGGAAUAUUGCACAAUGGGCGCAAGCCUGAUGCAGCCAUGCCGCGUGUGUGAAGAAGGCCUUCGGGUUGUAAAGCACUUUCAGCGGGGAGGAAGGCGUUAAGGUUAAUAACCUUGGCGAUUGACGUUACCCGCAGAAGAAGCACCGGCUAACUCCGUGCCAGCAGCCGCGGUAAUACGGAGGGUGCAAGCGUUAAUCGGAAUUACUGGGCGUAAAGCGCACGCAGGCGGUCUGUCAAGUCGGAUGUGAAAUCCCCGGGCUCAACCUGGGAACUGCAUU